rnacentral:tRNA from 1 species
AAUAAAAUAAAUUUAUAUAUUGUUAGGUUUGUAUCCUAAAAAUAAGGGGGUCUUUUUUAUUA